GAUGAACGCUGGCGGCGUGCCUAAUACAUGCAAGUCGAGCGAACAGAUAAGGAGCUUGCUCCUUUGACGUUAGCGGCGGACGGGUGAGUAACACGUGGGUAACCUACCUAUAAGACUGGGAUAACUUCGGGAAACCGGAGCUAAUACCGGAUAACAUUUGGAACCGCAUGGUUCUAAAGUGAAAGAUGGUUUUGCUAUCACUUAUAGAUGGACCCGCGCCGUAUUAGCUAGUUGGUAAGGUAACGGCUUACCAAGGCGACGAUACGUAGCCGACCUGAGAAGGUGAUCGGCCACACUGGAACUGAGACACGGUCCAGACUGCUACGGGAGGCAGCAGUAGGGAAUCUUCCGCAAUGGGCGAAAGCCUGACGGAGCAACGCCGCGUGAGUGAUGAAGGGUUUCGGCUCGUAAAACUCUGUUAUUAGGGAAGAACAAAUGUGUAAGUAACUGUGCACGUCUUGACGGUACCUAAUCAGAAAGCCACGGCUAACUACGUG
rnacentral:rRNA from 1 species